rnacentral:rRNA from 1 species
UACGUAGGUGGCAAGCGCUGUCCGGAUUUACUGGGCGUAAAGAGCGCGCAGGCGGUCGGAUAAGUCGAAUGUGAAAGCCCGUGGCUCAACCAGGGAGGGUCAUUCGAUACUGUUCGACUCGAAGGCAGGAGAGGGAAGUGGAAUUCCGGGUGUAGUGGUGAAAUGCGUAGAUAUCCGGAGGAACACCAGUGGCGAAGGCGACUUUCUGGCCUGUUCUUGACGCUGAGGCGCGAAAGCUAGGGGAGCAAACGGG